UCGAGCGAAUGGAUUAAGAGCUUGCUCUUAUGAAGUUAGCGGCGGACGGGUGAGAAACACGUGGGUAACCUGCCCAUAAGACUGGGAUAACUCCGGGAAACCGGGGCUAAUACCGGAUAACAUUUUGAACCGCAUGGUUCGAAAUUGAAAGGCGGCUUCGGCUGUCACUUAUGGAUGGACCCGCGUCGCAUUAGCUAGUUGGUGAGGUAACGGCUCACCAAGGCAACGAUGCGUAGCCGACCUGAGAGGGUGAUCGGCCACACUGGGACUGAGACACGGCCCAGACUCCUACGGGAGGCAGCAGUAGGGAAUCUUCCGCAAUGGACGAAAGUCUGACGGAGCAACGCCGCGUGAGUGAUGAAGGCUUUCGGGUCGUAAAACUCUGUUGUUAGGGAAGAACAAGUGCUAGUUGAAUAAGCUGGCACCUUGACGGUACCUAACCAGAAAGCCACGGCUAACUACGUGCCAGCAGCCGCGGUAAUACGUAGGUGGCAAGCGUUAUCCGGAAUUAUUGGGCGUAAAGCGCGCGCAGGUGGUUUCUUAAGUCUGAUGUGAAAGCCCACGGCUCAACCGUGGAGGGUCAUUGGAAACUGGGAGACUUGAGUGCAGAAGAGGAAAGUGGAAUUCCAUGUGUAGCGGUGAAAUGCGUAGAGAUAUGGAGGAACACCAGUGGCGAAGGCGACUUUCUGGUCUGUAACUGACACUGAGGCGCGAAAGCGUGGGGAGCAAA
rnacentral:rRNA from 1 species